UGUGUUACUGUCUGUUGCCCAGGAGCAUCGCUUGUUGCUCCAUCUCCAACAUCUCAGGGUGAACUGUCACACGAAGGGGCACAUGAAUAAUGAACCACGAAUGCACUCCUUGCCCUCUCACCCUGGGUUCUGGGUACCUCACCGCUGUUUACAACAAGUCCAGGAAACAACAAACAAAGCAGGAGAGUAAGGGCAGAAACACAAGUCAAGGUGGCAAAAAAGUCACAUUUAUGAACUUCAAUUAAGGGAAAAACCUACCAGCUGAUAUUCCUCAAAGUUGCAUUGAGAGAACAUCUGUCUCAGCAAAGUGUUAUUCUAGAUGAGCACCUGACUAUUUCUGAAAGUAACACACACUUGAGGAAAAGAUCUCCCAUUCUCUGUGUAUCCUGCUAAUUAAAGCUUUCUGCAAUGACAAGAUGAUACUGUGGAAUGACUUUUUAAAUUGUUUUUUCAAGGAACUGCCAACGUUUAACUAGGCUUCAGCUAACAGACUUUAAGUUAAGACAAAUGGCUCUGCCGUGGCUAAUCGUUAGCAUAUGCUGAUGUGGGAGCAUCUGACUACAGCGGGAGUCUGUCCUCGUGAAUUAUGCUGUGGGUGGCUAGAAUGACCCAGACGGCCCGUCUGUCCCUGCUUGCAAGCACCCAAACUACCUGUCUGGGUUGAGUAAUCCCCUCAUCACAUUGCCCGAGCUUACCCCUUCUGAGUUCGAGCUAAACUGGUAUGGAGUGAAGGCCUAGGAUCUUAUUAUCAAA